rnacentral:rRNA from 1 species
UACGGGGGGGGCAAGCGUUGUUCGGAUUUACUGGGCGUAAAGGGAGCGUAGGCUGUCGGUUAAGUCCGGUGUGAAAUCUUCACCGCUCAACGGGAAGUUGUCACCGGAUACUGGCCGGCUAGAGUGAGGUAGAGGCAAGCGGAAUUCCUGGUGUAGCGGUGGAAUGUGUAGAUAUCAGGAAGAACAUCUGUGGCGAAGGCGGCUUGCUGGGCCUUUACUGACGCUGAGGCUCGAAAGCGUGGGGAGCAAACGGG